GGUUGGGGUAGCUCAGUUGGUAGAGUAUGAGACUCUCAAUCUCAGAGUUGUGGGUUCAAGCCCCACACUGAGCCA
rnacentral:tRNA from 1 species